rnacentral:rRNA from 1 species
AGUGAACGCUGGCGGUAGGCCUAACACAUGCAAGUCGAACGGCAGCACAGUAAGAGCUUGCUCUUACGGGUGGCGAGUGGCGGACGGGUGAGGAAUACAUCGGAAUCUACUUUUUCGUGGGGGAUAACGUAGGGAAACUUACGCUAAUACCGCAUACGACCUACGGGUGAAAGCAGGGGAUCUUCGGACCUUGCGCGAUUGAAUUAGCCGAUGUCGGAUUAGCUAGUUGGCGGGGUAAAGGCCCACCAAGGCGACGAUCCGUAGCUGGUCUGAGAGGAUGAUCAGCCACACUGGAACUGAGACACGGUCCAGACUCCUACGGGAGGCAGCAGUGGGGAAUAUUGGACAAUGGGCGCAAGCCUGAUCCAGCCAUACCGCGUGGGUGAAGAAGGCCUUCGGGUUGUAAAGCCCUUUUGUUGGGAAAGAAAAGCAGCAGGUUAAUACCCCGCUGUUCUGACGGUACCCAAAGAAUAAGCACCGGCCAACUUUGUG